CUUAAGCCCAGUUCAGACCAAAGAUUCACAGCGAGAUUAAACUGUUUCAGAACGUUGCAGGAAAAAGUUCCAGCAGGUAGGCUUUAUUCUUAA